UAGCUCGCUAAAUCCACAGAACUUCCUGCUUAGAACUGUUCAGGAAAAAGAAAUAAUGGCGACGUUUCUGGGGUCUGAGUCCCCUUGGACUGGAGGAAAACGAAGCAGUCGCAAUAUCAUUUCAAAAAUCACACACAGUCAGAUCGCAGGCCAGGGUUUCAGCAGAGGGACACAGCUCCCAGAGGCUCUGCUCCAGGAGAGAGAUAAGAGGGCCAAAUGGCACGGCAUCCCUGAGCUGCUGCAGAAGCUCCAUGAGAGCAGCCAUCCUAACAGUGACCUCUCCCACACACACAGUGUACUAAAGGAACUAUCAUCCCUACUUUCCAUGGAGGCAAUGUCUUUUGUCACAGAAGACAGGAAGAGUGCUCAAGAAUCCACCUUUCCCAACACAUACACCUUUGACCUCUUUGGUGGAGUUGAUCUGCUGGUAGAGAUCUUGAUGAGGCCUACACUCACUAUGCAGAAGAAGAAACCUCAAAUGAAUGAUGACUUAGUCAAGGACUGCCUCAGUGUUCUUUAUAACUGCUGUAUAUGUACGGAAGGGGUUACAAAGAGCCUUGCAGCCAGAGACGACUUUGUCCUGUUUCUCUUCACCUUGAUGACGAACAAGAAGACGUUUCUACAGACUGCCACUUUAAUCGAGGAUAUUCUCGGCGUCAAGAAGGACAUGAUCCAGUUGGAGGGGAUUCCUAACCUGUCUGGUCUGGUCCAGAGCUUCGACCAGCAGCAGCUGGCUAACUUCUGCCGCAUCCUCUCUGUCACCAUCUCAGAACCCGACGUGAGAAAUGAUGACAAACACACCCUGCUGGCCAAGAAUGCACAGCAGAAACGCAACGCAAGCCCCUCACGUGCAGAGGUCAAUCAAGUUACCCUCCUGAACAUCCCGGGCUUCAUCGAGCGCCUGUGUAAGCUGGCCACCAGGAAGGUGUCUGAGGCCACCGGGGCGUCGAACUUCCUGCAGGAGCUGGAGGACUGGUACACGUGGCUGGACAACGCCUUGGUGCUGGACGCCCUCAUGCAGAUGGCCACGGAGGAAGCUGAGCACAGCAGCACAGAGUCAUCAGAUGAGAGUUCGAUGGCCACCAGCCCUCUGAGGCACCGUCUGCCCCAGUCCAUGAAGAUUGUCCAUGAGAUCAUGUACAAGGUGGAGGUGCUCUACGUGCUCUGUGUGCUGCUAAUGGGCCGUCAGAGGAACCAGGUACACAAGAUGUUAGCAGAGUUCCGUCUGAUCCCAGGUCUCAACAACCUCUUUGACAAGCUGAUCUGGAGGAAGUACACCUCGUCCGAUCACGUGGUGCAUGGCCAGAACGAGAACUGUGACUGCAGUCCUGAAAUAUCCUUCAAGAUCCAGUUUCUGAGGCUUCUCCAGAGCUUCAGUGACCACCACGAGAACAAGUACCUUCUUCUGAACAGUCAGGAGCUGAACGAGCUGAGUGCCAUUUCUCUGAAGGCCAACAUACCGGAGGUGGAGGCCUUAGUCAAUACAGACAGGAGUCUAGUGUGCGAUGGGAAGAAGGGACUCCUCACACGUCUGCUCGCCGUCAUGAAGAGGGAGCCUCCAGACUCCUCCUUUAGGUUCUGGCAGGCCAGGGCGGUGGAGAGUUUCCUCCGUGGAGCCACCUCUUAUGCGGACCAGAUGUUUCUGCUGAAGAGGGGGCUGCUAGAACACAUCCUGUUCUGCAUCAUAGACAGUGGCUGUAAGUCCAGAGAUGUCCUGCAGAGCUACUUUGACCUGCUGGGGGAACUCAUGAAGUUCAACAUCGACGCCUUCAAGAGGUUCAACAAAUAUGUCAGCACAGACGACAAGUUCCAGACCUUCAUGACCCAGAUCAACAGUUCCCUGGUGGACUCCAACAUGCUGGUGCGCUGCAUCGUCCUGUCCCUCGACCGCUUCGAGAGCCAGACAGAGGAUGUGAAAGUGGUGGAGGUGCUGUCUGAAUGCUGUCUGCUGUCCUACAUGGCCCGGGUGGAGAACAGGCUGUCCUUCCUCUUCAGGCUGGUCAAUGUCAUCAACGUGCAGACUCUCACACAGGAGAAUGUGAGCUGUCUGAACACCAGCCUGGUGGUCCUGAUGCUGGCCAGGAGGCGGGGUAAACUUCCCUUCUACCUCAACACAUUGAGAGAGAAGGAGUAUGCAGAGAAAUAUCCUGGCUGCCUGCUAAACAACUUCCACAACCUGCUGCGCUUCUGGCAGCGCCACUACCUCAACAAGGACAAGGACAGCACCUGUCUGGAGAACGUGAGUGUCCUCGCCCUGCUCUGUCCCAAACAAGGGAAAACCAGAUUUAUUUUCUUCAAAAUAUAUUAUGCAGGGAUGCAAACUUGGCGCUUCUUGGCGAUAUUCACAGUUUUGAUCUCAAAAUAGGUCAUUCACAUGAAUUGUGUCGAUCCAUAAAAACAAAAGUAUGUCUGGCAAAGUACGCAGAGUGUGUCACCCAUUGAGCUAUAAAAGAGAGGUGUGAACAGAAUCUCAAUUGCACACUCCUUGCGUCCUCUCUCCUCACCUCCUUCUCAAAACCCAUUGGAGGAGAAGGUCAGAGGGGAGGGACCUCUGGCUUUCACAUCCAUUGGGGUUUGAGGAGCGAGAAGUAUGCAAUUGAGGUUCUCCCCACUGUGUGCUCACUAACGUUACCUUCUCUGGCGGCUGAGUCAUCAUCCACUCCACACAACAAACUUUGUUCCUGACUGGGAAAUUUGGAAUGCAACUUGAGAGCUCCUGCAUCCCCUUUGACUACUGGAAGGAGACAGUGUCAGUGCUGCUGGGCUCAGACAGGACUUCUCUGUGUGCCAUAGCCAGCUACAUAGACGAGCCCUUCAUGGAGCUGGACAGGGACCUGCUGGAGGAUUAACCCAUACAGGCGGGUUUGGGUGUGGCUGGCCUGGUGGAGGGGGUAGGGGGUUGCUGGGGUAUGGACACCUAUCAUGAGUGAUGACCAUGCCAGAAAGCUAGAGCAGGACUGUAACUGUGGCUGGACACAGACUCGUUGCUAUGCUGUCUGUAACUAGGCCAGGAGGCCGUUACUGAAGGAGGGGGGGGGGGGGGGUGAUUCUACAAUCCUGGCCAUCUUCACUCCUCGCUCCAUUCUCUUCGGAGGAGAAGGGGCGAGACUGCACCUGUUUGUCUGUCCAUUACCAGACCCUACAGUAGAGAGAUACAUUUCUUGGACCUUGAAAUACUCCUAUGUUGGUGGUUUGCUUUAGGUGAAAUCAAAUAGCCUUUUAUAUAUUACAUAAAUAUAUUGAAAAAUCUAUACAUACGAUGCAACAAAUUAGAUAGGAUGUAUCUAUCUAUCCAUCUAACACAGAAAAUGGUUUGUUUUCACUGUGGGGGACUUGUUAUAAGAGGGGAGGCCCAGAGUAUGUCUGAAGACUAGUCCCCCCUGUGUCUCCUCUAGCCCACAUGGCUCUCUUAGAGAAGGGAAGUGUUGACUCCAUGUCUGUGAGCCUAAGAGGGUUGCUCAUGACUGGAUGCAGAGGUGGCAUCAGUCUUGUCCAGUGGUCUUUUGAAUGAAUGGCUUCGUCUCUGAUCUAUAUGUGUAUGUAGGGCUCUCUCUCUUAGGUGAAUCUAGUCGACUGGUACUUGUAGCUUUACUCAACCCGUCCAGGUAGCUUGUGGAUCUGUUAAUGGUUGACAUUCUAUGGGGUCCUAUGGUGGAUGAGAUGGGGCUGGACGGGACCCCCACUCACCUGAAGUCACCAACCCCUUCAUGACUUUACCCCAACACAAGGAAACAUUUUCCUUUCUGUUUUUCAGACAUUGUUUUUGUUUUUCAUCUUGUUAAGAGAAUAGCUUUUAGUUCUAAAUAAAGUGUAGAUAAAAGGAAGAAAACAUUGCACUGUUUGAAUUGUUGUUUUGUUUAUUUUGAUGACCGGUGUUUUCAUUUUGUAUCAGACUUUGUAUGCAUCAAGUGAAAGGGGGUUUGGCAAAAUAAUUAACUAUGCAGGUUCUAGUAUUCAAUCCCACUCUCUGUCGCCGACAGUUCUCACAACAGUUCCUUAACCCCUUAUCCUUGAACCAACAGCCACGCUGUGCUGCGUCACUUGAUUGUUCUCUAGUCGUCCACUUAACUCUUGACUGCUCUUAUCUUACCAUGAGCCUAGACUUCGACAAUCUUGAUCUGUCUUUGUGAUGAUUCUGUGCUUGAUGUCACCUCUAAUGUGAUUGGCUGAAGGGGGGAAUGGGAGUGGUUACAUUGCUAUGGCUCCUCUGGCUAGAAUGUGCUGAUGUUGCCGAUGCAGAGUAAGCAUUUAGCAAAAAAACUAAUCCAAGAAAUUGACCAAUGAUUGAGCUACCUCAUUUUUCAACCCAGCAAGCACCAAUUGGAUCACUCACAGGGUGUAUGUCGAAAUGGAACUAAUCCUGUUAAAACAGUUUUUUUUUUGCUAUCAUACAUUCAGUCAUGUGAACGUAUAAUCUGUUCACCAUUUGGUUUGCCCUAACAGUUGUUAUUGCUACAUAACCACAGGCUUUCCUACGAUGUGUGUUCUCGCACCAUUUGGUUUCUUUACCUACCUACACUUUACCACUACAUAAUGUGGAUGACUUGUGUUCAUGUACAUCAUGGAAGGAGCCUGCAAUGUUCAUAGGAGUCCUACCGGUGCAGCACCAUUUAGGUCAUUCUGUGUUCUUCUAGUGUUUGGAACAGAACUGUUGCCAUGAGAACUCUGUGCAUGUUCCACGCUCCCCAAAAGUCAUGAUUGCCUGUGGAAUAGCAUAUUGUCUGUUUUUUUUUUGUUGGCAUCUGGUGCAGAGUAGAUAACCUACUUUUAAAAAAUCUGGUCUUAAUUGCUAGAUAUAACUUUGAAAAUCAAACGCAGUACUGUAUUUCUAUACUAUCCAUCAUUAACAGCCACCCAGAUUUUGUACUGUUGAAACAUUGUACAUACUGUAUAUUUGGUUUUGUGCAGAUUUGCUUCACACUAAGAACUUACAUUUCAGAAGCAGCCUAUAUACAUUAAAUCCAAUACAAAAAAAAUAUGAAAGUCUGACUUUACAUUUUUAGUUGAUAAUUGGUGCUUAAUUAUUUGAAUUUGAUUGUAAUUCCUAGUCUCUUACCCUUCUUACAUCAGAUACAUUAUUUGAUGGAAUUGUUACUCUGUUCUUUGGCAUAUAUGCCAAGUUAGUUUCCUUUGUUUGACUGUGUGUGGUAUAACCCAGUCACUGUUAUCAUUGGAGAUGAAUAAUAAAAAGCAUAUGGUGUGUGUGUAUACCUAGAGAAAUUAGAUCAGCAAAACCUUUAUGUUUUCUGAAACAUGAUCAAAUCAUUUUUGUAUGUUUAUAUUUUGCUUUGACAUUGGAUAUUGGGGUGGUGAUGUUUUAGUGUACAUUGGAUUCCCCCCCCCCCACACACACACACACACACACACACCACUCCUAAUCCUGACUCAAUCCACCACAAUCCCCCUAAAAUUCAAUUUCACAACUGUUUUCUUAAUCUUAUGUUUAAUUUAACAGUCUUGUCUGUGAAUUUAAUACAAUGAUAAUCCUAAAUAAAUUCUCAACUUUCUUUUUGA